UCAGUUGGUAGACUGCCUGCCUAGCUUGC
rnacentral:piRNA from 1 species